UUAAAGGCUGUGAAGGAAACCUAGUAGGCUCGAGUUGCGCGGCACAGAGAGUCUGGGUAAGGUGAGAGCCAGAUGCCGUGGGGCGAGCUGAAGAUCAUUCCAGAGCCUCCGCCCGAACCGCGAAAGCGCAGUAGACGCGGACGGAUUUGCCACCCGUUAUCAGUGGCAGGAUGUGAUAUCGCAUCCACUGAGAGAGCGGCAACGCUAAUAGAGGUGGUACCGCGGGCUGGUAAUGAUCGGCUCGUCCUCAGC
rnacentral:ncRNA from 1 species